rnacentral:misc_RNA from 1 species
AAGUCGUAACAAGGUUUCCGUAGGUGAACCUGCGGAAGGAUCAUUAUCACAUGAAUCCAUGUAUAAACCAUUUCGUGAACUGUUAAAAACAAACUGUUAUGUGCUCAGUAUAUAUAAUUUGUUAGUUACGCUGGUGUCGAUGUGUUCGGCCAGCGCUUAGGUUUGGUUUGGAUGUGUUCGACCUUACUGGCUAACAAAAUCACUUGCUGAGUCUUAAUGGUAAAAACCUGUGAAACCCCUUUUAAACUUUUGAACUAACGUCUUCAUACUCCAAUAAAACGGAGAUGAAGUUUCUUACGAAACAAAGAACAACUCUUAGCAACGGAUAUCUUGGUUCUC